rnacentral:lncRNA from 1 species
GAAUUGUCGAAAUUGUGUUGAACAAGUUUGUAGAUUAAGACUUGGAAAAGAUGACGCUGCAGCAAAACGACCAUUUGUUAUACAUGUUUGUUAUGAGAUGUUUUAUAAUUCAGUUGUUGUUGCAGGCACAAAGCCAACAUGCAUGUUUUAAAUUCAAUCUUAUUUCCGUCGACACUACACAUUCCUUGAUUGACAAGUCCAAGCCAUCCACAUCGCAUAAACAUAGAGACAGUACCAUAUAGACAAUGAAAAUUGAGUUUUCAUACAACAACUACAAUUACAAAAGGAAAUUACUUAACUAGUACAUCCCAAUGAAACUACUAAUUCAAAAAAUAUAUAAGUGAAAUGAGGUCAUUAAAUUAACCACCCAACUCAUUCAUGUUCCUUUCCUCUCUCAUCUCCAUCCACAUUUACUCUUUGUGUAUUGCCUAAUAAAAAGAAAUCUCCACAUCCUGUUGAUCAAAUAAUGGACAUCAAGAUUCAAACGUGUCAGUUAGUUCUUUAGCUCCUUCGUUUGUAACAUGAUUCUUUGAAGUAGCGCUAACUGCACUUGAUUUACCGCUUGCCUCACCAUCUUCGACCCACCCUAAAUAUCCACAUUUUGCUCUACAGAAAUUUAAUGAUCUACCUUUGUUCUUACUCUCUUUCUCCACCUCAAAACAAUUGACAAGUGCAUGUUUACAUCAUGGGCAAUGGCAUUUCUCCAAAUAGAACUCAAAAAAUGUCCAUUUUCUCUACAACUAUGACAUACUUCUUGAUUCUUUCCUGCCAUUGUAAGUUGGGAAUAAACCACAAUAUAUCCUAAGCUAAGAUUAAAUUUAAGGAAAAUUUCAUAAUUCCGUAAUAAGAUCAAGUGCAUUACAAUUUUUUUCUUCCUCCUUAAUAAGUGAAAUUAGGUACCUUAUAAAUCCAUUCAAUCACAUUCAGUGGAUAUUUGCACUCUCAUUUUCAAUUUUGAGAAUCCCACAGCCAUUUAUCGAAAAGCACAUCGGAUGGCUCCAACCCGAUGAUUAAACUAGAAUGUUUGUAACUAUGUUAUGUUCUUCUAUCUUUUUUAUAGACAAAGUCAUGUGAAGAAGGCUUUCAUAUUAGUAUGCUAUAAAAAAACAACAAAAAAAUCUUGUAGUUCAUGUUUCCUAUUCUAACCCUUUAAGCAAAAACAAACUAUGCAGCAAUAGCUUCAAGCAAGAAUAAUAAACAAUAUAGCUUCAGUAAAUAAAACAUCACAGAUUAAUUUUGGAAAAUGAUUAAACAUCAUAUUCAAUCCGUUAAAAUCCCAACAGAUUUGAACUUACUUUUGCUUGCUAUAAAUCAAGUCAACACCUGAUGAAAACCUGACAACAAACUUACUUUCACUUGCUAUAAAUUUAGUCGGAGAAGAUGGGACCCGUCGUCGAACAUCUCAUGAACACCUCCAACAAUUUCUAUCGUGCAGCUGGAUAAACGCGAUAGACGAAGAUGGGUUGGGUGCUUCUGGUACAGCAAGCGAAGUAGCAUAGAGAUGUCUUCUUUAGGUGCUGUGUUGUAGGGGUGUAAGCGGUCCGGUUUUACCGGUUUUUGACAAAUUUUCAAACCAAACCGUUUAAAACGGUUUGAGAAAAACCCAAACCUAAACCAAACCAUUUUGAACGGUUUGAAAAAAACUCAAACCUAAACCUAACGGUUUGGUCCGGUUUUAAACCGCCGGUUUCGCCAUAUAUUUUUUACCCGUCUACUUUUAUGUCAUUAAUUCAUUGAAUUUAAUAUAUAUUUAUAUCUCACUAGUAAUAAAUCUAAAACAAACUAAGCCCCUGUUUGAAUCAAAUUUUUG